AAAGCUCAAAUUUAAAAUCUGGCAGCUUCGCUGUCCGAGUUGUAAUUUAGAGAAGUGUUACCCGCGUUGGACCGUGUAUAAGUCUCCUGGAAUGGAGCGUCAUAGAGGGUGAGAAUCCCGUCUUUGACACGGACUACCAGGGCAUUGUGGUGCGCUCUCGAAGAGUCGAGUUGUUUGGGAAUGCAGCUCUAAAUGGGUGGUAAAUUCCAUCUAAAGCUAAAUAUUGGCGAGAGACCGAUAGCGAACAAGUACCGUGAGGGAAAGAUGAAAAGAACUUUGGAAAGAGAGUUAAACAGUACGUGAAAUUGCUGAAAGGGAAACGCUUGAAGUCAGUCGCGUUGGCCGGGGAUCAGCCUUGCUUUUGUGAGGUGUACUUCCUGGUUGACGGGUCAGCAUCAGUUUCGACCACUGGAGAAAGACAUUGGGAAUGUGGCACCUUCGGGUGUGUUAUAGCCCUUUGUUGUAUACAGUGGUUGGGACUGAGGAACUCAGCACGCCGCAAGGCCGGGUUUCGACCACGUUCGUGCUUAGGAUGCUGGCAAAAUGGCUUUAAGCGACCCGUCUUGAAACACGGACCAAGGAGUCUAACAUGCCUGCGAGUGUUUGGGUGGAAAACCCGAGCGCGUAAUGAAAGUGAAAGUUGGGAUCUCUGUCGUGGAGAGCACCGACGCCCGGACCUGAUGUUUACUGACGGAUCUGCGGUAGAGCAUGUAUGUUGGGACCCGAAAGAUGGUGAACUAUGC
rnacentral:rRNA from 1 species